GGAUUAGGGUAUGUAUAUAAACAACUGGUGUUUGCAAACAUCAGCAUUGACUGUUCUGUGCAACUUGAGAGCUGUGUUCUUCCUCGUUUUCGCCUCCAUUCUCCUCCUCGGAGCUGUUACUGAUGUAGCCAAGGCGCAGACAUGCAGCGGAUCCUGCAUCAACAAUGCUGACUGUGCCCACUGCCACUGUAGCUCACAUUGUUCCGUUUUUCAUGGCGGCGUGGCGGGCACUUGCGCAUGUCACUGGUACAGACUCUUUCCGUAUAAACUACACUUUCCACCUGUAUAAACUGAUGCUUUAACCGACUGAUCAUUAGCAUUACACUCUGUUGCUAUCUGUUCUGGGAUAAGCAUUCUUGGUAGUCGAUGGUCGGUUUCAUGAAGGGACAGGUUGCAAGUGUAAUGGUCUGGUUGUAUUACCGCAUGAAUAUUAUACAACAAAGAUUAAGAAGGCCAGCCUGAAUUAUUUCUUUUUUUAUCUUUCUUGGCCAAAAACGAUAUUUUGUUGAAAAUGCAGACGUUCUUAAAAGAUGGUUAAGAUGGCAGUUGGUUCGGAGAGUACUGUGUGUUUGUUCGUGGACCCUUGAGUAACAGAUUAACUGACCAAUGAGUGGACUUUAUAGUUGAUAAAUAAAUAAUAAAUAAUAAUAAAAUUAUAUAUCGUUAUCCUAAGGUACCAGUGAAAGAAGGAUACAAAUGGGUGUCAAUGUUAUUUGACAGUGAAUCUUUCUUUUUUUCUGUGGAUUGCUGAACAUGAAAGGGGCCAAACUUGUGCUUCGAGUUCUCUACUGAAAGACAUUCUGGUGUUUGUAGUUAUUGAAAAUAAAAUGUACUGGAAUCACCA